GACGAACGCUGGCGGCGUGCCUAAUACAUGCAAGUCGAGCGAAGCGGCGGAUGGGUGAGUAACGCGUGGGUAACCUGCCCUUAAGUCUGGGAUACCAUUUGGACACAGAUGCUAAUACCGGAUACUACAGGAUGGACCUGCGAUGACUGAGCUAGUUGGUAAGGUAACGGCUUACCAAGGCGAUGAUGCAUAGCCGGGUUGAUAGACAGAGCGGCCACAUGGGGACUGAAACACGGCCCAAACUCCUACGGUAGGAAGCAGUAGGGAAUCUUCCACAAUAGACGAAAGUCUGAUGGAGCAACGCCGCUGGAGUGAAGAAAGUUUUCGGAUCGUAAAGCUCUGUUGUUGGUGAAGCGGUAAUCAACCAGAAAGUCACGGCUAACUACGUGCCAGCAGCCGCGGUAAUAG
rnacentral:rRNA from 1 species